rnacentral:rRNA from 1 species
GACGUAGGUGGCAAACGUUAUCCGGAAUUAUUGGGCGUAAAGGGUGCGUAGAUGGCAUGAUAAGUUAUUGGUGGUAAAUCGAGGCUCAACCUCGUGGAAGCUGGUAAUACUGUCAUACUUGAGUGCAGAAGAGGUUAACGGAACUCCCUGUGGAGCGGUAAAAUGUGAAGAUAUAGGGAAGAACACCAAUAACGGCGAAGGCAGUUAACUAUUCUGUUACUGACAUUGAGGCACUAAAGCGUGGGGAGCAAAACGG